rnacentral:lncRNA from 1 species
GCGCUUUCCACGGCCGUUGUUUCCUGGUGCGCGGCGUGAGGUGACUGAGGCUCCUUCACGCGGGCUCGGUACCCGCGAAGGGUGCGGCUGAUCCCAGAUGAUGGAAGCCAGUUGUUUGGCUGGGGUCAGAUCCGGCCAGUGGAUGGCCAAAAGCCUAAGCUAGAUUUUUGUUGAUACUGGGCUUUCUCAUUCUCUGAAUGCCUGUCCCCUCCCGGAACUGCUGGUAGACCUCCAUUUCUGAACAAGGCAGUGUUAUUGGACCCUUUAUGCCUAAAGGUGUAACUUUUGUCUCUUCCGGUUCUCCAUCCCCUUGGAUACCGUGUUUGUUUUUUACUGCAAAUUAAUAAGAUUGUCCUUUAAA